rnacentral:rRNA from 5 species
UGGUGACCAGCGGAGGGAUCAUUA